rnacentral:rRNA from 1 species
UACAGAGGUCCCAAGCGUUGUUCGGAUUCACUGGGCGUAAAGGGCACGUAGGCGGUGCGGUAAGUCACCUGUGAAAUCUCCUGGCUCAACUGGGAGCUUGCAGGCGAAACUGCCGUGCUGGAGUGUGGGAGAGGUGCGUGGAAUUCCUGGUGUAGCGGUGAAAUGCGUAGAUAUCAGGAGGAACACCGGUGGCGAAGGCGGAUCUCUGGGCCUUGCCUGACGCUGAGGAGCGAAAGCAUGGGGAGCGAACAGG